rnacentral:rRNA from 1 species
UACGUAGGUGGCAAGCGUUGUCCGGAUUUACUGGGCGUAAAGAGCGCGCAGGCGGUCGUGCAAGUCGCGUGUGAAAGCCCCCGGCUCAACUGGGGAGGGUCACGCGAUACUGCUCGACUCGAAGGCAGGAGAGGGAAGUGGAAUUCCCGGUGUAGUGGCGAAAUGCGUAGAUAUCGGGAGGAACACCAGUGGCGAAGGCGACUUCCUGGCCUGUUCUUGACGCUGAGGCGCGAAAGCUAGGGUAGCAAACGGG